GACGAACGCUGGCGGCGUGCCUAAUACAUGCAAGUAGAACGCACAGUUUAUACCGUAGCUUGCUACACCAUAGACUGUGAGUUGCGAACGGGUGAGUAACGCGUAGGUAACCUGCCUGGUAGCGGGGGAUAACUAUUGGAAACGAUAGCUAAUACCGCAUAAUAUUAAUUAUUGCAUGAUAAUUAAUUGAAAGGUGCAAUUGCACCACUACCAGAUGGACCUGCGUUGUAUUAGCUAGUAGGUGAGGUAACGGCUCACCUAGGCGACGAUACAUAGCCGACCUGAGAGGGUGAUCGGCCACACUGGGACUGAGACACGGCCCAGACUCCUACGGGAGGCAGCAGUAGGGAAUCUUCGGCAAUGGACGAAAGUCUGACCGAGCAACGCCGCGGGAGUGAAGAAGGUUGUCGGAUCGUAAAGCUCUGUUGUAAGAGAAGAACGGGUGUGAGAGUGGAAAGUUCACACUGUGACGGUAUCUUACCAGAAAGGGACGGCUAACUACGUG
rnacentral:rRNA from 1 species